UACGGGGGGGGCAAGCGUUGUUCGGAAUUACUGGGCGUAAAGGGCUCGUAGGCGGCCAACUAAGUCAGACGUGAAAUCCCCGGGCUUAACCUGGGAACUGCGUUUGAAACUGGAAGGCUAGAGUGUGGCAGAGGGGGGUGGAAUUCCACGUGUAGCAGUGAAAUGCGUAGAGAUGUGGAGGAACACCGAUGGCGAAGGUAGCCCCCUGGGCUAACACUGACGCUCAUGCACGAAAGCGUGGGGAGCAAACAGG
rnacentral:rRNA from 1 species